UUAUAUCCCACUGAAAUCAAUGAGACUUAAUUCAAAGUAAACAAAAAUAGAAUGAGAUUUUUGUAGGAUAGGCAGCUAAUCAAAAGUUAAAUUCAAUUUUCAUCAUGAGGUAGCUUUAAUUUCAGCCAUAGUUCAAAUAGGAAUUAAAUGGAGACAAUGUUCUUUCAAAUGUGUGAAACACAUCCACCGUGUCAGUAAAUGUGAGCUGUUCAACUGAUGCUGAAUGGCCACUGCAUGGUCUCAUAUUUCUCUUGCCCUAGAUUUGAUCCUCCGGUAGCACCAAUUAGCUGUUUUAUUCCAUUCAUCAUCACUGCUGGCACUUGGAAGGUAAAGCUUGUAUGCUGAUCCACCAAUCUCUAUGCCAGUGCCCAUCAAUGGAUUGUGCCAGGAGAGUGCCUUAGGGGCCAAAUCAUGCAAUCUGGAGCAUUAAAUAUGGUACACAAAUACUUAGGAUAGGAAAAGUGACCAUUUAAUUUUUUUUAAAGAAGUGUUCAAACUUCUUUUGGCAUGAAAAGAGGCACUUGGAGAAGUAAAUGCUGUACAAUAUUUUGCUCCUAGUGGCUCAUGUUUUGUAUAAUCACAGAUCCGAUUAGAUGACAAUGUGUUAUCUUGGUCCAAGUGAUCUUUAAAAAAAUGAUUAUAUUGUGAGCCAAUGAAAUUUAGCUAUGGACGACAUCAGUGAAAUCAAACAAAUGCAUUUCAGAGGAAGGGCAAUGUUUUUUGCUUACCUUCUGUCAAGUUGCCAACACUACUGAUCUAACAUGGCUAUGUAAUUAUUUCUAGGAAAAAUGAAUUUGAAAGAAGGAGGAAAAGAGAUACCAAAUAACCUGUCAAAAGGAACAUUUACACACAGGAAAACCACACCUACAUACUAGAUGUGCUGGAGUUGUGUGGUUUUGUCAUUGCUAUUUAUUGGAGUGAGCCUGGGAAAAUCACAAGAAGGGAAAGGUAAGCCUCUUCUGGACAAAUCAUGCCAAGAAAACCCCAUGAUAGGUUUGCCCUAUGGUUGUCAUAAGUUGGAAACAAUUUGAAGGCACACAAUUACAAUACAUUGUCCUGAAGUCAGAAAUCCUUGUAGGAAUACUA
rnacentral:lncRNA from 1 species